rnacentral:rRNA from 1 species
UACGGGGGGGGCAAGCGUUGUUCGGAAUUACUGGGCGUAAAGGGCUUGUAGGUGGCCAACUAAGUCAGACGUGAAAUCCCUCGGCUUAACCGGGGAACUGCGUCUGAUACUGGAUGGCUUGAGUGUGGGAGAGGGAUGCGGAAUUCCAGGUGUAGCGGUGAAAUGCGUAGAUAUCAGGAGGAACACCGGUGGCGAAAGCGGCUCACUGGACCGUAACUGACGCUGAGGUGCGAAAGCUAGGGGAGCAAACGGG